UCGCCACAUGCGGUGUGUUAAGCAACUCGAGAAAGCUUUGCUAGGUGCAAGUGUUACUGCGAGGCAGUGCCGAAAAUACAAAGGCAGCGCCGAAAAACACAGCUGGUUGACAGCUCUGAAACAGCAGUCCUGCCUCUCUUCAAUAUCUGAAGAGCACAUUAUGCCAUCAAGACAAUGCUCACUGCUGAAACAACACCACACGUUAACAGCAAGCGGAAGAGUAAGGUAUCUGCAGUUCAAGCAGUGCAAAGGUGUUCCUUCUAGAUCGGAUGGAGCUUGGAAGUAUUUCAAGAGGUUGUAGCUCAGGUGCCCAUGAGCCAAAGG